rnacentral:rRNA from 1 species
UGGGGAAUAUUGGGCAAUGGGGGAAACCCUGACCCAGCGACGCCGCGUGGAGGAAGGAGCCCUUCGGGGUGUAAACUCCUGUUGUAAGGGAAGAAGACCUGACGGUACCUUACGAGGAAGCCCCGGCAAACUACGUGCCAGCAGCCGCGGUAACACGUAGGGGGCGAGCGUUGUCCGGAAUUACUGGGCGUAAAGCGCACGCAGGCGGAUGCGCGCGUCGGCUGUGAAAUGCACCGGCUCAACCGGUGCACUGCGGUCGAUACGGCGCAUCUGGAGUGCGGGAGAGGGAAGCGGAAUUCCCGGUGUAGCGGUGAAAUGCGUAGAUAUCGGGAGGAACGCCGGUGGCGAAGGCGGCUUCCUGGCCCGCAACUGACGCUCAUGUGCGAAAGCCAGGGGAGCGAACCG